CCCACUCUGACAAUAAAAACUGGUUGAAGAAAAUGUUUACGGUUUAAUUGCUCUCCAUAUCAGCAACACAGGCCCUAAAAAAAGACAGUUAGGCAGAAAGAAAACAGCGGUGAGAACAUGACAGUAGAGGUGGUGGCACAGGCACAGGCAACACUGAGAGAACAUGACAGUAGUGGUGGUGGCACAGGCAACACUGAGAGAACAUGACAGUAGAGGUGGUGGCACAGGCACAGGUUACACUGAGAGAACAUGACAGUAGAGGUGAUGGCACAGGCACAGGCAACACUGAGAGAACAUUACAGUAGAGGUGACGGCACAGGCACAGGCACAGGCAACACUGAGAGAACAUGACAGUAGUGGUGGUGGCACAGGCACAGGCAACACUGAGAGAACAUGACAGUAGAGGUGGUGGCACAGGCACAGGUAACACUGAGAGAAUAUGACAGUAGAGGUGGCACAGGCACAGGUAACACUGAGAGAACAUGACAGUAGAGGUGGCACAGGCACAGGCAACACUGAGAGAACAUGACAGUAGAGGUGGUGGCACAGGUAACACUGAGAGAACAUGACAGUAGAGGUGGCACAGGCACAGGCAACACUGAGAGAACAUGACAGUAGAGGUGGUGGCACAGGCACAGGCACAGGCAACACUGAGAGAACAUGACAGUAGUGGUGG
ensembl:lncRNA